UAGUGCAAUAGAUCCAAGCCAAAUGUAGAAGACCAUUGACCAACUGCAAAAAAGAUAGCAACAGCACAUUCAAAAACAGUAGCAGCAGCAUACUAUACUGUACCAUGCGGUGUGCAGGAGGACUUUUUUAUUCAGUUGGUGCGGCAAGAUCGAACACCAACAACAUAAUAUCAUGGUAAUCACCCAGCAAGAGAACGCAGUGAUAAUGGGCCAACAGAAAACACAACAUCAAGAUGCUCGGAAAGGACUUUCUCUUUCGAACAAACAUAAUGGCACGUCAUGUUCAAUCGGCUAACCGUUUGGAAUAAGCGCUCAUCAUCGGUUUCAUGGCAGGGAAGCGAGCAGGCAAAAGAAGGCAUCAUUUUUUCCGCAAGGUCACUCUGGUCAAAAUUUCAGCGAAUUGCAAGGAAUAAACCACCCGAGGGACAGUACCCGUGCUGAUUCAGGACGAUUUCCCAUACUUUGUACCUUGCUAUUGAAUUUUAAUACCCGAUCGAAACGAUGGCAAGCGCUACCGAUAACUGGGUCAAAAAGACGACGGAUCAAGAAAUUUCUGCACACGGUUAGCGAACUGAGUACAUAUCACCAAGGAUAAGGAUUCAGAGCCGGCGGCUGGCAGUCCAGAGAAAGAGAAUGCGGAAAAACCUAGUCCACCGGCAGUAGAACCAAAGCUGCACCUGAUGUUUGGAGUUCGGUAGCUACGGAAAUUCUGACUUCUCCUGAAGAAAAACAAGCUGCAAGAGAAAAUGGAGAAACACCUUCCUCCGCGGAAGAUGCAGAGGCAUUCAAGUAAGUCGAAAUCUGCAGAAAAUUUUAAUUAGGACAUAAGGAACAUUGACAGCCUCCCUUUGUUUACUUUCUCUUUCGAUUAUGACGUCACUAUAACACUUUGCACUAAUUUUCCAGUACAUAGCCGAUGGUUUUUACUAAAAUAUUAUGUAAAGAGUUGAGUACUAAAUAUUGAAACGACCAAGUAACAAACAGAGGAGAAAGACCCCAAAGAGAAUCUCAUUGUUGCUUACGUCCUAUUCUAAAUUUUCUCCCGAAAUAUUUAGCAUC